GACGUAGGGCGCGAGCGUUGUCCGGAUUUAUUGGGCGUAAAGAGCUCGUAGGCGGCUUGUCGCGUCGACUGUGAAAUCCCGAGGCUCAACUUCGGGCUUGCAGUCGAUACGGGCAGGCUAGAGUUCGGUAGGGGAGACUGGAAUUCCUGGUGCAGCGGUGAAAUGCGCAGAUAUCAGGAGGAACACCGAUGGCGAAGGCAGGUCUCUGGGCCGAUACUGACGCUGAGGAGCGAAAGCGUGGGGAGCGAACAGG
rnacentral:rRNA from 1 species